AAGACCAUACUUUCAGGGAUCAUUUCUAUAGUUCACUCAUUACUAGAGAAGUUGUUCUGAACAUGUAGGGGCACGGGAAACCACGACGAGGAGGCACAGUAUUCUCUUCUGAGCUUGAAGCCAGCUCUACUCACUUCACUGCACCUGCCAUUUGCCAUUGAUGAUCAUUCUCUUCCUGAAGGAGAAUGAGAGAGAAAGGAUGCAGUCUGAGUGGUU
ensembl:snoRNA